AUGGAAUUAGGGAAGGAGUCUAGGAAAGAGCGAGACUUGUUGGCCAUCCUCUUUGUUUUUUCACAUCUGAUUCUUUAUUCUCGUCUGGAAAUUCCUGCAGAAUGGAUUAUUUGUGCAUUUUUCAAAAUCAGAAACUUGGAGGAAAAUAAGAAAACUGAGGUCAAAAUCAAUGGCACUGAAGAAACACUGAAUGCAGUAACCUCAUUAAGAAUUGAGUCUCUUUCCCACCAGCUGGAGUUCAGUGUAAACUGCCUUGGCUACAGUUGUAAUAUAUGGGGAAUGGAACCACUAGAGGAUGCAGGGGCCACCACCUGA
rnacentral:lncRNA from 1 species